UCCGUGUUAACCACGGCAGUCCCUCUAGAGUGCCCAACUGAAUGCUGGCAACUAAAGGCAGGGGUUGCGCUCGUUGCGAGACUUAACCCAACAUGUCACCACACGAGCUGACGACAGCCAUGCAGCACCUGUCUCUCUGUCGUAUUGCUACGAAAGCCGUAUCUCUACGGUUGUCAGAGGAUGUCAAACCCAGGUAAGGUUCUUCGCGUUGCUUCGAAUUAAACCACAUGAUCCACCGCUUGUGCGGGCCCCCGUCAAUUCCUUUGAGUUUUAGUCUUGCGACCGUACUCCCCAGGCGGGAUACUUAAUGCGUUAGCUGCGACUCAGCAGGGGUCAAAUCCCGCCAAAUCUAGUAUCCAUCGUUUACGGCGUGGACUAC
rnacentral:misc_RNA from 1 species